GUUAUCUAUGUAGUGUUAUCCAUAGGCAUAGAUAACGAUAUGAUGUAAUCCGUUAUGUAUGACCGUUAUCUAUUAGUUGCAUACAUAACGGUAUUAUGGAACCGUUAUAUAUGAGGCCCGAAUACUGUUAUGUAUUAUUUUUGUAUUUAUUUUUAAAUUUAAUAUUAUUAUAGAAAAUCAAAACCCUAACCCACCCCACCAAAUUUCCCCAAAUCGAACCUAGACUCUUUCUCUCUUCAGUCUUCACCAUCGUCCUGCCCUGCCACCGCCGUCGCGACACGCCGCCACGACCACCGCCGCCUGGCACUUGCUGCCCAGCCGAUUCCUGAGACCCGCCUCCUCUACCUCUCGUCGUGCUAACGGCCAGCAACUCUCAGUCUCAUCUCUCUACCUCUCUUACCCUCGUUGUCGGCCUCUCUGCCGUCACUACCGCCUCCUCCGAUCUCCCGUGGUUACACAGCCUCACAUGCUAAGCAGCAGACAAUACCCUUUAUAUUCUAUUCAAACCAUUUUUAACCCAAGCCCUAAAUCAAAAUCAGCAGCCCCUAUCUCCUCCAACCAAAAUCUGCGCAGCCCUAGUUAUUGAAUGUAUGUCUUCCAUAAAAAAUCUCCGCCCAUCGUUACUGGUGGUCCGAGGAUCGGCGACCCGAUGGUGUUCUACAGCCGGUUCUCUUCUCAACUCCACAUAACCGAGGCAGGAAAUGGGGAAAGCCCUAAUUCUCCUCUCAUCCUCUAUCUAUCGUUUCGGCCGUGAGCUUCCGGUGAGGCCGCCGCUGGUAUUGGAAGUUGUCUCUAAUGGUUCAUCCUGACAAAUCUUCUCAUCCUCAAGCUCACCAAGCUUUUGUUAAGUUGAAUAAAGCAUUUAAAGAACUUUGACAGUUGCUAAGGGGUUUCCGGGCAGCGUCACUCCUGAUUAUGUCCCUUUUCAAAUAUGGGAUUCAUUGCAGGGCCUUUCGACUUAUGUGAGAACAAUGCUUUCCACCCAGGCUCUUCUAAGUGCUAUUGGGGUUGGUGAGAAAUCGGCCACAGUUAUUGGGGCCACAUUUUAGUGGUGUCUGAGAGAUUUAACUGGAAUGCUUGGAGGUGUUUUGUUUACAUUUUACCAGGGGGCAGACCUGGAUAGCAAUGCCAAAAUGUGGCGUCUUGUUGCAGAUCUCAUGAAUGACCUCGGUAAAACUGUCCACUUCUAUAGUUCUAUUUGCCAUUAUCAUUUCUGUUAUUGUUGCUACUAUUAUUUGAAUAUUUGAUUGGACGGCAUAAUAUUGUUUAUUAUAGUAGUGUUCUUUUUAAGUAUUUCUCUCUGAUUUAGAUGUCAUCUUUAUCGAUUUUGAACAAGAUUUUGCAGCUUUAUUCUAGGGUUUACGGUUUAGUUUUUUCUCAAAAACCUAUUCAGCCUUUAUUCCAGAUAAAGAAGAAGAAAAGUGAUGCAGGAGAACCAGUAAAGUACAUGGGCUGUGGGGACUGCGAGAAUCUCAGUAAAGUACAUGGGCUAUGGUAGCUUGGGAUGGCUUGAGGUCAAAAGACAACUAGAGAAUCAUAGCAGGUUGAUUAACUAGUUCUUGAGGACUUGGUGCUAGAAACAUUGUAUGAUAGAUUUUUGUUUUAGCUAUAAGGUAGUUGAUAUUUUCAAUUUUGAAUCGGAAUAUGCAAUGAUGAUGUAUACUUGAUAUUUGGUUCAUUUGUAUAAUAAUGUAUGA